GUUUUACAGAGGGUUUUGCUGUGUCACAGUCCCCCUGCCUCAGCCUCCCAUGUGGCUGGGACUACAGGCACAUGCUACCAUGCCUUUCUCUUUCAGACAGGUCUUGCCUGCUCCGCUGUCUGAGCUGGCCACAAGUGAUAUGACCCUUCUCAUCGUCACUGCCUUGUUCUCAGGUUCAGGGGCAUUGCAAAUCAUGCUAAUACACCACCAAAUACGCUGUUGCUGCUUCUAAGUGCCAUCCUGUAAAUGUGCCUUACUAAGGAUGGGAAAGGCACAGUGAGAACUGAGGCCUAGGCACGCUCUGUCCUCGUCACCUCGAAUCCCCGUGGCCUGGGUAGGCACGUCGGACACCUCUGAACCUGUGCAAUGGAGAUGGCUGUGGUGAGGACAGAAGCAGACGGCACAUGAAGCGGGUGGCACGGCAGACCGGUCCAUGCCAACUCUUUCCUCUGUCUCCUCAGAAACUCAAGUCUGAUAUUUUGAACCUAAAUAAACCUUCAAAAGUCAUCAGGGUAAAAAGCCUGACCUGACAUCCACAGACUAGCCACCCUUGGGUGGAGCCCGCAGAGACAGGGCCCAGCUGAGCCACUGCAAACAAGGACCUGUCCAUUCCAGCAACAACUGAGGCAGCCAGGCAGACCUGGAGCUCAAGACUCAGAGUGGCCCCUGGGCAUACCACAGAGACUCUGUACUCCACCCAGUCCCGGUCCCUUCAUUCCCCAAAGAAGCACUGAGAUCUCAGAGAAGGAUCUCCAUUCAACGCAGCCAAAAAGGAAAAUCGAAGCCAAGCACAAGGCAAGCCUUCCUGAGAGAAGACAGAAAGUCUCUGUAACCUGUGGAAUGAAAGCUUCGCCAGCAGAACGUGACUCUCUUGUCACGAAUGACUUCAAUUGCCGGUGGACAGGAAUUCUGAACGAGAACAAAGAGCGUCAGAGCGGUUUCAGGGCUCUGGCUGUCGUUCUGGGGCAGGCGGGCUGGUAACGUUAUAGUAUAAUGACGGGGACGAAGGACAGGGUGUCCUUUCACCGCGCAAGGCUCCUGCAGCCAAAGGGUCUCAGGCCCUCACAGAGCCUUCACUGAAGUGGAAACGAGGAAUUUUCUAGCAGCAUGGACGGGGCUGAGAGCAGGUAACUCAGCCCAGCCAGAUCCACAAGGGCAGCAAAUGGGGAGAAGGGAUGAAACGAUGCCAUCUGCUCGCUCACCGAUGGUAAGAUGUGCACUAAAUCAGGGUCUUUUCUGUC